rnacentral:rRNA from 1 species
UACGUAGGGGGCAAGCGUUGUCCGGAUUCAUUGGGCGUAAAGAGCUUGUAGGCGGUUCGGCAAGUCGGGUGUGAAAACUCCAGGCUCAACCUGGAGACGCCACCCGAUACUGCUGUGACUUGAGUCCGGUAGGGGACCACGGAAUUCCUGGUGUAGCGGUGAAAUGCGCAGAUAUCAGGAGGAACACCAGUGGCGAAGGCGGCCUGCUGGGCAGUUGCUGACACUGAGGCGCGACAGCGUGGGGAGCAAACAGG